rnacentral:rRNA from 1 species
AACGAACGCUGGCGGCAGGCCUAACACAUGCAAGUCGAGCGGACCUUUCGGGGUCAGCGGCGGACGGGUGAGUAACGCGUGGGAAUAUGCCCUUCUCUACGGAAUAGUCCUGGGAAACUGGGGGUAAUACCGUAUACGCCCUUUGGGGGAAAGAUUUAUCGGGGAAGGAUUAGCCCGCGUUGGAUUAGGUAGUUGGUGGGGUAAUGGCCUACCAAGCCGACGAUCCAUAGCUGGUUUGAGAGGAUGAUCAGCCACACUGGGACUGAGACACGGCCCAGACGCAUACGGGAGGCAGCAGGGGGUAAUAUUGCCGAAUGGGCGGAAGCCUGAUGCAGCACCUCCGCGUGCGGGAUGACGGACGUCGGGUUGUAAACCGCUUUCGCCUGUGCCGAAGCGUGAGUGACGGUAAUGGGUAAAGAAGCACCGGCUAACUACGUG